rnacentral:rRNA from 1 species
CCUACGGGCGGCAGCAGUGAGGAAUAUUGGUCAAUGGGCGAGAGCCUGAACCAGCCAAGUCGCGUGAAGGAUGACGGCCCUACGGGUUGUAAACUUCUUUUGUCAGGGAGCAAUUGGGUCCACGCGUGGGCUUAGCGAGAGUACCUGAAGAAAAAGCAUCGGCUAACUCCGUGCCAGCAGCCGCGGUAAUACGGAGGAUGCGAGCGUUAUCCGGUUGUAUUGGGUUUAAGGGAUGCGUAGGCGGAAUAUCAAGUCAGCGGUAAAAAUUCGGGGUUAAACCGCGUCGUGCCGUUGAAACUGAUGUUCUUGAGUGGGCGAGAAGGAUGCGGAACGCGAGGUGUAGCGGUGAAAUGCAUAGAUAUAACGCAGAACUCCGAUUGCGAAGGCAGCAUACCGGCGUCCAACUGACGCUGAAGUACGAAAGCGUGGGUAUCGAACAGGAUUAGAUACCCUGGUAGUC